AGAGUUUGAUCCUGGCUCAGGAUGAACGCUAGCGGCAGGCCUAAUACACGCAAGUCGGACGGGAUCCGGGAGUAGCUCGCUACUUCCGGUGAGAGUGGCGCACGGGUGCGUAACGCGUGAGCAACCUGCCCAUAUCAGGGGGAUAGCCCGGAGAAAUCCGGAUUAACACCGCAUGACACGCCGGGACGGCAUCGUUCCGGCGUCAAAUAUUCAUAGGAUAUGGAUGGGCUCGCGUGACAUUAGCUAGUUGGUGGGGUAACGGCCCACCAAGGCGACGAUGUCUAGGGGCUCUGAGAGGAGAAUCCCCCACACUGGUACUGAGACACGGACCAGACUCCUACGGGAGGCAACAGUAAGGAAUAUUGGUCAAUGGGGGCAACCCUGAACCAGCCAUGCCGCGUGCAGGACGACUGCCCUAUGGGUUGUAAACUGCUUUUGCCGGGGAAUAAACCCCACUACGUGUAGUGGGCUGAACGUACCCGGAGAAUAAGGAUCGGCUAACUCCGUGCCAGCAGCCGCGGUAAUACGGAGGAUCCGAGCGUUAUCCGGAUUUAUUGGGUUUAAAGGGUGCGUAGGCGGCACUUUAAGUCAGGGGUGAAAGACGGCAGCUCAACUGUCGCAGUGCCCUUGAUACUGAAGUGCUUGAAUGCGGUUGAAGACGGCGGAAUGAGACAAGUAGCGGUGAAAUGCAUAGAUAUGUCUCAGAACACCGAUUGCGAAGGCAGCUGUCUAAGCCGUUAUUGACGCUGAUGCACGAAAGCGUGGGGAUCGAACAGGAUUAGAUACCCUGGUAGUCCACGCCCUAAACGAUGAUAACUCGAUGUUUGCGAUAUACCGUAAGCGUCCAAGCGAAAGCGUUAAGUUAUCCACCUGGGGAGUACGCCCGCAAGGGUGAAACUCAAAGGAAUUGACGG
rnacentral:rRNA from 1 species